ACGAACCUCUGGUGUUCGGGUUGUGUCGCCAGACGCAUUGCCCGGUAGCUAAGUUCGGAAUCGAUAACCGCUGAAAGCAUCUAAGCGGGAAGCGAGCCCUGAGAUGAGUCUUCCCUGAUACUUUAAGUAUCCUAAAGGGUUGUCGGAGACUACGACGUUGAUAGGUCAGGUGUGUAAGUGCUGUGAGGCAUUGAGCUAACUGAUACUAAUUGCCCGUGAGGCUUAACCAUACAACACCCAAGGGGUUU
rnacentral:rRNA from 1 species